rnacentral:rRNA from 1 species
AUUGAACGCUGGCGGCAGGCCUAACACAUGCAAGUCGAGCGGUAGCACAAGAGAGCUUGCUCUCUGGGUGACGAGCGGCGGACGGGUGAGUAAUGUCUGGGAAACUGCCUGAUGGAGGGGGAUAACUACUGGAAACGGUAGCUAAUACCGCAUAACGUCUUCGGACCAAAGUGGGGGACCUUCGGGCCUCACGCCAUCAGAUGUGCCCAGAUGGGAUUAGCUAGUAGGUGGGGUAAUGGCUCACCUAGGCGACGAUCCCUAGCUGGUCUGAGAGGAUGACCAGCCACACUGGAACUGAGACACGGUCCAGACUCCUACGGGAGGCAGCAGUGGGGAAUAUUGCACAAUGGGCGCAAGCCUGAUGCAGCCAUGCCGCGUGUGUGAAGAAGGCCUUCGGGUUGUAAAGCACUUUCAGCGAGGAGGAAGGGUGGUGUGUUAAUAGCACAUCACAUUGACGUUA